GUGCACCAGGCGCGAAUCCUCCGCAAUACGGGAAACCGUGACGGGGUCAUCCUGAGUGCUACCCGCAGAGGGUAGCUUUUCCCUGGUCUAAAAGCCAGGGGGAAUAAGCGGGGGGCGAAGACUGGUGUCAGCCGCCGCGGUAAUACCAGCCCGCCGAGUGAUCGGGACGAUUAUUGGGCCGUAAAGACAUCCGUAGCCGGCCCAACCAAGUCUUCUCUGAAAUCCUACGGCUCAACCGUAGGGC
rnacentral:rRNA from 1 species